GUGCCAGCCGCCGCGGUAAUACAGAGGGUGCAAGCGUUAAUCGGAAUUACUGGGCGUAAAGCGUGCGUAGACGGUUACAUAAGUCGGGUGUGAAAGCCCCGGGCUCAACCUGGGAAUUGCAUUCGAGACUGCGUAGCUAGGGUGCGGAAGAGGGAAGCGGAAUUUCCGGUGUAGCGGUGAAAUGCGUAGAUAUCGGAAGGAACACCAGUGGCGAAAGCGGCUUCCUGGUCCAGCACCGACGUUCAGGCACGAAAGCGUGGGGAGCAAACAGGAUUAGAAACCCUAGUAGUCC
rnacentral:rRNA from 1 species